GACCUGUGAUAUUUGUGUUUGCAAUGGGUUUCUAAAAUGUCGGUGUCCUGGCUGGUAUCAUUGCAUAUAGUGCAGUGUACGACUACCUCGCCGAGAUUAACAUUUAUAUUGUCAAUACUUCGCCUUACCGCCAUUGUAACAAAUUAUGAUUAAGGAAAAACGAUAUAGUCUUUAAGACUAUGAAAGAUUUUUUUGAUCGGAAGAGCACAA